rnacentral:ncRNA from 2 species
AGUACCAGAUACUAAGUCGGUUCUAGUAAGGAUCAGCUACUAGACAUAAGGGGGAAAGUUGGUGAAAGUCCGACGCUGACCCGCAACUGUGAAGGAAACAGACUAACAUUUGCUUGUUUCCUAGCCAGGAUGCCCGCCGAUUUGAUGUUGAUAUU